CAUGUACUCCCUCCAUCCGAAAAUACUUGUCAUCAAAAUGAAUAAAAGGGGAUGUAUUUAGAUGUAUUUUAGUUUUAGAUACAUCCUCUUUUGUCCAUUUUGAUGACAAGUAUUUUCGGAUGGAGGGAGUACGUG
rnacentral:pre_miRNA from 1 species